UGCGUGCGUGUGUGUGUGUGUGUGUGUGUGCAUAUAUCCAACUGUCUUAUCUGGUAGAAUUACUCUGGUUUAGGUUUAUUCUACCCCUACUCACCUCCACCUCUUUCCCUCAAAUUGGAGCUAUAGCUGCCAACCUACGUCACAGCCACAGCAACACCAGAUCUGAACUGCACCUGCGACCUACACCAUAGCUUACGGCAACACUGGAUCCUUAACCUAACCCAUUGAGCAAGGCCCGGGAUCCAACCUGCAUUCUCACGGAUAAUAGUUGGGUUCUUAACCUGCUGAACCAUGACGGGAACUCCCCUCAAAUGAGAGUCUUGACUCGAGACUACAGACAUGAAGGAAUAAUUUGAGAACCAACUCACUGAACGUCUGAGAGCUCAGGGCUCAAGGGUGAGAAGAUGUCAGGUGGGACUUGGAGUCAAGAACUGAGGCUCUCAUUUGUUCUUCCUGAAUGUGAUUGUAAAAGUGUAACCUUGGGGUUUCCCCAUGCAACCUGUUUUUGCCCGUGGUUGCCAGGCAACCACACAUAACACCUGCCCACCUCCUUCCCUCUCUAUCCCCCAGGAGCCCACCCACACCAAAGGCAUCAGUGCACGACAUGAAAGAUCGAACAUUUUGUCCCCAGAAGAUAUUUGCCCCUUUUUCCGAGUCACUCUCAUCUCUGCCUUCAGAGAAACUGUCCCUCAGGCAGCCCUGAGCCUGGCUUUACUUCAUCCACCGCACGUUACCACACAAAACUGUUUCCUUCUUCAAGAAUGGAGGAGCUUGAAUUCUUAGAUGCUGAUGAGAGAUGGAAGACACAGAUGAGAGAAGUGAGCCCUGAUGGAACAAGGCUGUGGAGAAGGAAGGCGUGAAGGGAUGGAAGGUGCAGGUUCAUCGAAUGGGAAGAGAUGUACUAUUUCUCUGCCUCUGAUGGGAAGGAAGUGAAAUAAACAUGGACACAGCUAGGUUUGUGGUGAUGGUGGCCGUGAUGGAGUAUUGUUUAGCUAGUAAAGGCAAAUUGCUUCCAUUUUCUUGCUGAAUGUAAAAGCAAUUCUUCGAGGGUGAGGAUGCUAGGAGGUGAAUCUUUCCCAUGUGACAUAUUAAGGUUUGGAUGGGACUACUUCCCCCACACCCAAUUAGGAAAUAAUGCUGUAUCAAGCUGAAUCCUUACUCUGAUGAUUUUAAGGUGAACAAAAUAUCAGACUUACUCUUUUACAGUUAAUUUUUGAUGCAAUUUUGCUUGUAGGAAAGAAUCCUGCUGACUUACAAUUCUUUUACUCAAACUGUUGAUCUGUAACCCUUCUCAUAGCAGUUGAGGUCUCUCCAGAUUUAGAGGACUUCACUGUUUUCACCUCCCUUUUUGGUUACAGUGAGGUAGAGAAAACCAACAAGUCUUGAGUGUCUGUGUAUAAUUCUUCAUUGUGAGUCAAUCAGCUGCCUUAUCUGGGGUGUUGCGAAUCCCAGGGGCUUUGGGGCUCUGCAUCAAUCUGUUUAAAUUUGAGAACAGGGGGGAUUUGGGGGGCUACUGAAUGGGCUCGUGUGUGGAUGUGGCACGAUGGGGCUGAAGGCUCAUAGCCUCUCCUGUGGUGUGAUCUACUGAUGUCUGUGCCCCAGACAUUCACUCCUACCUGUUAGUGUCUUAAGCAUGACCCUUGCAACUCUGCUGCCCUCAUUCUUUUCUAGUGUGACCCCUUUCUUCUGAACCAUUCUCUGUGCCAAGGAUUCACAACAGAAUAUUAGGACUAAACAUGGAAUAGACAACUGCAUAUUUUCCUCAUCACUCUGGGGUUCAAAAAAAAAAAAAAGCGAACUGUCCUCAGAUUAAAAGUGUUUCUCUUAGUUUUUUCUUUUCUUUUUGCUUUUUUGCAUUUUAGGCCCACAUCCUCUGCAUAUAGAAGUUCCCAGGCUAGGGGUUGAAUUGGAGUUGUAGUUACUGGUCUAUGCCACAGCCAUAGCAACAUUGGCUGCGACCUACACCAGAUCCUUAACCCACUGAGUGAGGCCAGGGAUCAAACCCACAUCCUCAUGGAUAUUAGCUGGGUUUGUUACCACUGAGCCACGAUGGGAACUCUUAGGUUUUUAUUUUUAAUAAAAGGACUGUAUCUGGUGUUAAUUUUUGGUUGAUAGCAUAAACAUCUAAUACGCACUUUAGAUGAAUGGUUGCAUAAUGUAACACACGUAAUAUUUGUUUACCUUCUGCCUCCUUUGCUUGACUCGAUGUAAUGCUUGGUGGGAUAACAGGCAUGUCAUGGGCUUAAUAGGUAUAGAAGGCAGAUCAUAUGUUUUCUGAUUGUAACGAUAAUCCAUUCUUAGAAAAGCUGGAUGAAUCUUGUUACUAUGAACCAGAGGCAUUUCGGGUGAGCUGUAGGUUGAAAUUGACUUACUUUAGAAAAAGGCUACCAAGUCAGUUUGCAGCUGCAAAAUGUGGGCUGAUCCCCAACUCCCAGCUUCCUAGAGGAAGGGAACUGAUGUGUGUGCUUCGGCCUUUGGAAAGGUUUUGAUAUAGGGAGUGAAGAGAUGCAACAUUUUGGAACUGUCUUGCCCAAAGCUUCUUUCCUUUCUUGCUUCUUCUGUAUUUCCUGCACUUGGACUUGGGAAUAGAUUUG
rnacentral:lncRNA from 1 species